rnacentral:rRNA from 1 species
UACGUAGGGGGCAAGCGUUGUCCGGAAUUACUGGGCGUAAAGGGCGCGUAGGCGGCCCGCUAAGUCGAACGUGAAAUCCCCGAGCUCAACUCGGGAACUGCGUCCGAUACUGGCGGGCUUGAAUCCGGGAGAGGGAUGCGGAAUUCCAGGUGUAGCGGUGAAAUGCGUAGAUAUCUGGAGGAACACCGGUGGCGAAGGCGGCAUCCUGGACCGGCAUUGACGCUGAGGCGCGAAAGCUAGGGGAGCAAACGGGG